ACUCAUGUAUCAUUAACAAUAAAUAUAAAUAUCUAAUGAUUCAAACAAUCUUAAUGAUAAAAACUGUGUUUUUGAAAAAUCUUUUCGCUUGGCACCACUGAUUGUUUGCAGCCCUUCGCCACGCCAGCCAUGUUUGCCGCGGUAUUUGUUUUGCUUCUCGACGGAAGGACGAAAUUUACAAAGAAGUGCCAUCAAGUUUAGAGAUUUUGGAACGCCGGUAUCAAUCUUCCGAUAGACUACAUCUAAUUUUCCAAAGGAUGACCAAAUCAAGUAGCCAUCAGAAGGCGGUUCUGGCGACGCGAUGCCGGUCAAAGUUUCAACACCGCGGCGAAGAACAUCGGGAUGUUUUUUGCAACAGGCUUUUCUGCUACACAAUUUUGGCACAAAAUUGACUGGGGAAGCUAUCAGAACCGGACAUCUGACGCCUGAUUGAGGAAUAAACAAUAAGAUGCAAUAAGAUAAUGAUUAUAUAAAUAAAAUGAUAAUCCGGAAA